CUUAGAGAACGUGGACACGGUUGAUGCGUAUACCGGUUAACCGUGAUUCGGAAUUGCGUUCAGGUUCGUUUCGAAUUAACGUUUAGCUUCCGCUAGGAUUACGCCGAAGUCUAAACUCAAAGAUAUUUGACGAGUACCGCACAAGCGCGAGCAUGCGUAUUAUUAGAUGCAACGAGAAGAAUCUUUACGUGGUCUUGACAUGUUCCUGACGAUCCCAGAGAUGUGUUCUUCUUCGGGGCUGCUUCACAGUGCAUCAUGUCGUCGUCAGCUUGUUUGUGAGAUGUGGAUAUAGUCCACAACGAGCACACUCUCGCGCGUUGCUACCAGCGGAUUAUGCGAGGACUCAGGGGGGACCUGCGGGGUUACUUAGGAGGAUGGUGAGGAUGACUUAUGAUCAUCAUCCCCAUUUCGUCCAGGUCUCGCAGCAUGCUACAAUGGCUGCAACAAGAGGAGGCACCACGAGAAGCAGAGGAGAUUCCAUAAAAGCUGUCAUCAGUUAGGACAGUAUUCAGCACUUCGGCGGGAUGAAGGAGUAGUUAGUAGUAUUGAAUAAUCACCAUCGUGGCGAGGAAGGUGUUCCGGGCCUUUCACCCCACCCCCCAUCAAUUCAAAAAAGGGGGCACCACCAGAAGCCGGUGUCUUACCCCCUGGGGGGAGGCAGCCUUAUAAGAGGAGGUUGAUGAUGGGGAUUAAGUAGCAACAAGGUAGCCCUCCAGGAAGGGGCGGCUGCACCUCCUCUUUUUUAAGAAAAAUACGGCCGGAUUUUCUUCCGGCGGGGGGUCCCCCGUCGCGGCGCCAGCGGCGGCGUUUGGGGGCUGUUGUGGAGGAGAUCAUCAGGGGUUUUCGGGUCUUCCGUGGGGGGUUGUUCGGGGGGGGUGGGGGGGAGCCGUUUUGGGGUUCCCGGAUCCCCCCCCCAGCCUUCGGCCUGGCGUGAUUUGAUGCCCAUCGUGCCUGAUGGCGGGCUGGUCCCGUCCGGACGGCGUGGUGGUGCGUGGUGGCUUGAGAACUGGAUAGUGGACGCGAGCAAGACGGGGUUUCCUUUGAUUCCUCGUUCUUGCUGUUGAUUUAGAAUCGAACUAUAUUUUUAGUGUUUGUUUCGAUCGUUUUGUGAUCAUUUUAGUGUGAUGAUUUGUCGUCUGGGAAUUUGCUAGGAAGGAUCCUUGCGGCCAUGCGCACCGUGUGGUCC
rnacentral:misc_RNA from 1 species